CGGGGCGGAGCAUCCACUAGACCCACGGAGACUGCGGUGGUCGGGCUUUGGCCCUCUGUCUCUUGUAGCCGUGGGGUUACGGGGACCUGCCUCUCCAGCUCUGACUCUGGACGGAUCCUGGAGGUCAGUUUCAAGCCCACCAGCUGCAGAGGAUACACCUGCCCUAACACCAAACCCCCAAACAUCCCCAGUGCCUGUUACCCUUCAUGGGCCUAACGGAGCCAGAUGGUUCCCGGAAGCCCUGGAAAGCACGCGUGGUCAGCUCAAAGGACACAGAGUGAGGAAGAGCCAGGUUUCAGGCAUGAAGCCGAGGCAACCAUUUCUGGGAGAUCCUGGGAACCUGGGUGAAGCAGGAACUCAGGCAGGGGACUCGCCAUCAGCCCUGCUGCCCAGGGAAGGAGGGACUGGCCCUUUAACUCCCAAUCUCAGCCUCAGGGACACUCGGAUGGCCCAGUGGUUCUAUUGCUGGCAGUCCGUCCUGCAGACACUCCAGACACGCGUGGAAAACAUCCAUUGCAGCCUGAUGUGAACUAUCAAAGGACUGGAAACAGCCUAAAUGGUCAUCAGCAGAGAACUGGAUGGACAAGAUGUGAUUCUGCCCACUCGCACUGCCAACUACAAUGUACCCACUUCAUGAAGAACGUGCAGGUCCUCGCGUUUAUUUAUUCAACAAAUUCCUUCUGAGUCCUUGUUACAUGAGGCCCGCUAUGCUCGGCGAAGGGGACACAAUAGUGCAUGAACACAAACCCCAUCCUGGCCUUGCAGAGCUUGGUCUGCCUGGGGAGUUUGACUGAGGAAUCGGCAAUGCCGCAGGUGUAGCCCUCCAGAGGGCUAUGGUGGAGACAACUCAGAGAAGUCAGGGCAGUCAAGAGUUCUUGUUGUGGCUCAGUGGUUAACGAAUCUGACUAGGAAGCAUGAGGUUGCGGGUUCGAUCCCUGGCCUUGCUCAGGGGGUCAAGAAUCCGGAGUUGCCGUGAGCUGUGGUGUAGGCUGCAGACAUGGCUCGGAUCCUGCGUUGCUGUGGCUGCGUUGUGUAGGCCGGCGGCUGUAGCUCCGAUUGGACCCCUAGCCUGGGAACAUCCAUAUGCCGUGGGAAGCGGCCCUGAAAAAGACCAAAAAAAAAAGUCAGGGAAGGCUUCCUGGAGGAAGUGGCGGUGGAACCACCAUCAAGUGGGAGAGGAAGGAAAGAGCACAUGCAAAUGUCCUAGGGAGAAAGAUGAUGUGGCCGGGUGAUGCAUGGAUGAAGAUUGCUGGGGCUGGAGCCAAGGGGCUGGGGGUGGUGCCAUGUGGAGCCACCCAGACCCCCUUCAGGAGUGAAGUUCAGUGGGAACUCCUAAUUUUUUACUUUUAUUUUGCUUUUUUUAAACAAAAUUUUAUUAUCAUUGAUUUACAAUUCUGUGUCAAAUUUUUGCUGUACAGCUAAGUGACCCAGCUAUAUAUACAUACACAUAGAAAUGUACAUUCUUUUCUUCAUUUUAUCCCUACGGACCCAUUUUAAACUUCUGAACUCCAGAACUGUAAAGAUAACAAAUUUGGGAAAUCCCAUCGUGGCACAGUGGAAACGAAUCUGACUAGGAACCAUGAGGUUGCAGGUUCGAUCCCUGGCCUUGCUUAGUGGGUUGAGGAUCCGGC